AUUGAACGCUGGCGGCAGGCCUAACACAUGCAAGUCGAACGAGUGGCGGACGGGUGAGUAAUGUCUGGGAAACUGCCUGAUGGAGGGGGAUAACUACUGGAAACGGUAGCUAAUCCCGCAUACCAUCAGAUGUGCCCAGCAGGGAUUAGCUAGUUGGUGGGGUAACGGCUCACCAAGGCGACGAUCCCUAGCUGGUCUGAGCGGAUGACCAGCCAAACUGGAACGGAGCACCGGUCCAGCCUCCUACGGGAGGCAGCAGUGGGGAAUAUUGCACAAUGGGCGCAAGCCUGAUGCAGCCAGGCGGCGUGUAUGAAGAAGGCCUUCGGGUGGUAAAGUACUUUCAGCGGGGAGUCGUUACCCGCAGAAGAAGCACCGGCUAACUCCGUGCCAGCAGCCGCGGUAAUAC
rnacentral:rRNA from 1 species